rnacentral:rRNA from 1 species
CCUACGGGUGGCAGCAGUGGGGAAUAUUGGACAAUGGGCGAAAGCCUGAUCCAGCCAUGCCGCGUGUGUGAAGAAGGCCUUCGGGUUGUAAAGCACUUUCAGUGGGGAAGAAAGCCUUGGGGCUAAUACCCUCGAGGAAGGACAUCACCCACAGAAGAAGCACCGGCUAACUCCGUGCCAGCAGCCGCGGUAAUACGGAGGGUGCGAGCGUUAAUCGGAAUUACUGGGCGUAAAGCGCGCGUAGGCGGUCUGAUAAGCCGGUUGUGAAAGCCCCGGGCUCAACCUGGGAACGGCAUCCGGAACUGUCAGGCUAGAGUGCAGGAGAGGAAGGUAGAAUUCCCGGUGUAGCGGGGAAAUGCGUAGAGAUCGGGAGGAAUACCAGUGGCGAAGGCGGCCUUCUGGACUGACACUGACGCUGAGGUGCGAAAGCGUGGGUAGCAAACAGGAUUAGAUACCCGGGUAGUC